AGCAGCCGCGGUAAUUCCAGCUCCAAUAGCGUAUAUUAAAGUUGUUGCAGUUAAAAAGCUCGUAGUUGAAUUUCGAGACCGGUUUAUUGGUCGUGCUUUUGUACGUACUGGUAUUAUUGGUUUCUCCUUUCUGACGAAUCUUAAUGCCAUUAAUUUGGUGUUUUGGGGAAUCAGGACUGUUACUUUGAAAAAAUUAGAGUGUUUAAAGCAGGCUCACGCCUGAAUACAUUAGCAUGGAAUAACGGAAUAGGACGUUUGAUUCUAUUUUGUUGGUUUCUAGGAUCGACGUAAUGAUUAAUAGGGAUAGUUGGGGGCAUUAGUAUUCAAUUGUCAGAGGUGAAAUUCUUGGAUUUAUUGAAGACUAACUACUGCGAAAGCAUUUGCCAAGGAUGUUUUCAUUAAUCAAGAACGAAAGUUAGGGGAUCGAAGACGAUCAGAUACCGUCGUAGUCUUAACCAUAAACUAUGCCGACUAGGGAUCGGAUGAUGUUAAUUUUUAAUGACUCAUUCGG
rnacentral:rRNA from 1 species